GCGGACCGGACCACCACCACCACCACCGGCACCACCACCAGCAGAUUAAUUAGUACAGUAUAGGAACAUGGUGACAGCAGGACAGUUAGACUUCAUUGGCCUGCCUUGCCUGCCUGCACCUCAAUCCACACGCAGGGACUUGAGGGCCUCGGACAGAGUCUCCCUCAGCACGCCUGGCUUGGCCCCGACAGCACUGACCACCCUGGAGAACACUUGCUUCUUCAGGGUGAUCAUCUCCAACUCCCUCGCCUUCCCCCUCGCCUGCCGGAUCACUGUCUCGGGCAGGCCAGCCAGACGAGCCACAUUGAACCCAUAAGACUUGGGACAUGAGCCAUCAGUGAACUUGUACAGGAAGGUGAUGGUCUCCUGUGAGGGGUCAUUGUCGUCCUCUCCACUCUCCACCAUGCACGCCUGGGGAGGGAGGAACAAAGUCAGUGUUAAGGCAAUGCCUCUCAGAAGGGCAACAUUGAGUUUCCUGGACAUGGAUGGGAUCCUGGACCAAGACAGAUUCUGAGGAAGAGACAGGAUCCACCUCAACCAUGAUGGGAACCAGAAUGUCCAACAGGCAACUGGCUGAGAGCAAGGCAGGUGUGCUGCAUAGAGACAGCCUGACAAGGAGGACCAGCAGAGUACGGCAGACACAGAGAGUUAACUAACC